UCUCCGUAGGUGAACCUGCGGAGGGAUCAUUACAGAGUUCUCGCCCUCGCGGGUAGAUCUCCCACCCACUGUUAUCGUUACCGUGUUGCGUUGGCGGGCCGCCGGGCCCCGCUCGCCCGCCGGCUCCGGCUGGCGCGCGACCGCCAGAGGCCCAGCAUACUCUGAAUGUUAGUGUCGUCUGAGUACUAUAUAAUAGUUAAAACUUUCAACAACGGAUCGCUUGGUUCUG
rnacentral:misc_RNA from 1 species